rnacentral:rRNA from 1 species
UACGUAGGGUGCAAGCGUUAUCCGGAAUUAUUGGGCGUAAAGAGCUCGUAGGCGGUUUGUCGCGUCUGCUGUGAAAACUGGGGGCUCAACCCCCAGCCUGCAGUGGGUACGGGCAGACUAGAGUGCGGUAGGGGAGAUUGGAAUUCCUGGUGUAGCGUGGAAUGCGCAGAUAUCAGGAGGAACACCGAUGGCGAAGGCAGAUCUCUGGGCCGUAACUGACGCUGAGGAGCGAAAGCAUGGGGAGCGAACAGG